rnacentral:tRNA from 1 species
CGGAUAUAGUUCAAUGGCAGAAUGUGAGCUUCCCAAGCUUAAUAUGCGGGUUCGAUUCCCGUUAUCCG